rnacentral:lncRNA from 1 species
GGGGAGUUGCCCUGUCACAGUGGGAGUGACUCCCUGCCUUCUGCACUCUGAGAUAUUGCAAGAGCCUGCUGCAUUGCCUGAGCUGGGUUCAUGGCCAGGGGAGAGCAUUAAAAGUUCCCUCUGCCCUUGUACCCUGGUUUAACUCUGACUGAGAAGAUCCCUCUGAAUAUCUCUCAGGCAUUGGGCUUCCCUGGUGGCUUGGUGGUAAAGAAUCCACCUGCCAUUGCAGGAGAUGCUCGUUCCAUCCCUGGUCCGGGAAGUUCCCCUGGAGAAGGGAAUGGCAACCCACUCCAGUAUUCUUGCCUGGAGAACCGUGAAGCCUGGUGGGCUACAGUCCACGGGGUCACAAAGAGUCUGAAAUGGCUUAGCGACUGAACAACAACGAUCUGCCGGUGGGGACAGACCAUCCGGAACUCCCUCUCCUUUGGGUGAAGCCUCGUGCCUGAGAGCCCCAUGGAGCUGUUUCACCUGCCUCCCUGGAUGUGCACAGUUGAUGAGCAUACCAUGCCCUACAGACUACAGUAAUCACCUGGACGGAGGUGCUGAGGCAGAGAAAAGCGGCACUGGAGAGAAGCUGCGGGUGAUGUUCAUUUCUUGCUUUCUCUAUUUCAGAGCCAAUCGUGCCUGGCCUUUUGGAAUGCAGCCGUCAUCCCUAAGGAAAAAAUUACGGCUGAGAACUGUGAAGGCUUCCUGUCCUGUGGUUGAAGGAAGAGCAGACUCCACGGCCGUUUCUUUUUCCUUCAUUUUUCAAACAAAGAAGCUAAAGGAGAACCUCAGGCCCCCCAAAAAAAUCGCGUUCCUUGCAGGACUUUUCAAGACUUGGUGGACAGAUUUAUGUAAACAAAUCACUGUUCCUCCUUUGGUAACCUCAAUCCUGAGAGUGAACACGGGUCUCUCAUAGAUUUUUGCUCUUUCCAUCACUGUAGAAGUUUCAGACUGUGCUCAGCAAGACAUCACAAAAUUACUCAGCCAUAAAAAGAGGGAAAACAUGCCACUUGCAGUGACAGGGACGGGCCUAGAGAUUGUCAUAUCGAAUGAAGUGAGUCAGGUGGAGAAAGACAAAUGCUGUAUGAGAUCUCUUGUAUGCUGCUGCUGCUGCUGCUAAGUCGCUUCAGUCGUGUCUGACUGUCUGAAGGUGAAAAGUGAAAGCGAAGUAACUCAGUCCUGUCCGACUCUGAGUGACCCCAUGGACUGCAGCCUACUGGGCUCCUCCGUCCACGGGAUUUUCCAGGCAAGAGUACUGGAGUGGGGUGCCAUCGCCUUCUCCCGAUCUCUUGUAUAUGGAAUCUCAAAAAGUGGUGCAGACAACUUGUCUACAAAAUGAAGAAUCACAGGCAGGAAACAAGCUUAUGAUUACCAAAGGGAAAGGGAGAGGCAGGCAUACACUGGGGGACUGGGACUGACACACACACACUAGUAUAUAUAAGACAGAGUCAGCAGGAGCCUACUGCAGCAUGUGGAACACUACUCGAGCUCUGUGCUGACUGAAUGGAAAGGAAAUCCACAAGAGCGGGGACGUGUGUGUACGCACAGCUGAACCACUCUGCUGCACCUGCACUGCUGGCAGGUUCGUUACCACCUGAGCCACCAGGGAAGCCCCAGAAAGUAACAGAACAUUGUCAAUCAACUACUACAACAAUACAAAUUAAUUUUAAAAACAGACCUUCUGAGAUGGAGGAAAAUUAAAGAAAGAAACGAUCCAUGGUGUAUUCCCUUACCUGCCCUAAACUGGCAUCAUUUUGGGCACCAUCCAGGGAGGAAAAUCAGCCUAUAGAAAGAAAGAGACGAUCUGAAGCGGAUUUAAGGAAGAGAGGUCUGGGUCUGUGGGGCUGCUGUCCUCAGGAUAAGACA